rnacentral:antisense_RNA from 1 species
GUUAUUCACUAUUGGUCCUUGAUUGGUUAUUUUUCCUGCAUCUUCCCACCCAGACGAGGUAUCAUAUACCCCUCAAAAUAAAGAGCCUUGGGUACUAGAAGAAAAGCACCUAUACCCAACAAUAUUAGUGAAUACACAAAAUUGUGGUCUUUUUAUUUCAUUUUCAUGCAA